GAUUGCUUGCAAUCUGAUGACGAGUGGCGCACGGGUGCGUAACGCGUAUGCAAUCUACCUUUUACAGGAGAAUAGCCCAGAGAAAUUUGGAAUAAUGCUCCAUAAUAUCAUGUAUCAGCAUUGAUUUAUGAUUAAAGCUCCGGCGGUAAAAGAUGAGCAUGCGUUCUAUUAGCUAGUAGGUGAGGUAACGGCUCACCUAGGCUACGAUAGAUAGGGGCCCUGAGAGGGGGAUCCCCCACACUGGUACUGAGACACGGACCAUACCCCUACGGGAGGCAGCAGUGAGGAAUAUUGGACAACGGAGGAAACUCUGAUCCAGCCAUGCCGCGUGCAGGAUGACUGCCCUAUGGGUUGUAAACUGCUCUUAUAUAGGAAGAAACACUCCCACGUGUGGGGGCUUGACGGUACUAUAUGAAUAAGGAUCGGCUAACUCCGUGCCAGCAGCCGCGGUAAUACGGAGGAUCCAAGCGUUAUCCGGAAUCAUUGGGUUUAAAGGGUCCGCAGGCGGCCUGUUAAGUCAGAGGUGAAAUCCUACAGCUCAACUGUAGAACUGCCUUUGAUACUGAUAGGCUUGAGUUAUUGUGAAGUGGUUAGAAUGUGUGGUGUAGCGGUGAAAUGCUUAGAUAUCACACAGAAUACCCCUUGCGAAGGCAGAUCACUAACAAUAUACUGACGCUCAUGGACGAAAGCGUGGGGAGCGAACGCGAUUAGAUACCCUGGUAGUCCCCGCCGUAAAACGAUGGAUACUAACUGUUCGACCUUCGGGUUGAGGGGUCAAGCGAA
rnacentral:rRNA from 1 species